rnacentral:rRNA from 1 species
GACGAACGCUGGCGGCGUGCCUAAUACAUGCAAGUCGAGCGGACUUAAAAAGCUUGCUUUUUAAGUUAGCGGCGGACGGGUGAGUAACACGUGGGCAACCUGCCUGUAAGACUGGGAUAACUUCGGGAAACCGGAGCUAAUACCGGAUAAUCCUUUUCUACUCAUGUAGAAAAGCUGAAAGACGGUUUACGCUGUCACUUACAGAUGGGCCCGCGGCGCAUUAGCUAGUUGGUGAGGUAACGGCUCACCAAGGCGACGAUGCGUAGCCGACCUGAGAGGGUGAUCGGCCACACUGGGACUGAGACACGGCCCAGACUCCUACGGGAGGCAGCAGUAGGGAAUCUUCCGCAAUGGACGAAAGCCUGACGGAGCAACGCCGCGUGAGUGAUGAAGGUUUUCGGAUCGUAAAACUCUGUUGUUAGGGAAGAACAAGUACGAGAGUAACUGCUCGUACCUUGACGGUACCUAACCAGAAAGCCACGGCUAACUACGUG